ACAAACAAAACAGAAACAAAAACAAGUACAGAAAUUUCGUGAGAAAGACAAGAAAAUUCCUCUCGAGAAGAGACAGAUUCUUUCUGUCUUUCAGAAAAAGGCAAGGAUGCCCUGAGACAUGGCAUAUCAACGAGACUACGAGGACACAACGGCAACAAAUGCAUGGACACCAGUUAACAGUCACCAGGAACAAGUUACUGCAGAUGCUGGAAUGUGAACUGAAAACAACAAUUGCUGGGAUCACAGGAGGUCAGGCAGCAUCCGUGGAAAUAAGCUCAUGGGAAAAUGUAACAUUCUUUCCUGACUACCGCCCAGUGGUUCUGUACUCCAUGAUCAUGGAGGAUGCUUCGUGCUUCGAGAGGCUGGUCACGGCCCACAUCAAUUCUAGUCUCCCAGCCUGCCUCAAUCCCCUGCAAUUUACCCACCGACAUAACAGGCCGACAGCAGACACCAGUUCCCUAACCCUACAUUCCUGCUCAUCAACACCAUUAUCCCCUCAGACUGAUCUCGAAACUCCAAGAUCCAGGUCUCGGCUCUGCCCUCUGCAUCUGGAUGCUCACCCCACAGACUGCAAUCAUCGAAGAUAGGCAACCGUACCUCCUCCACAAGGAGGCUCAACACUGGAACCCCCUCCCAUGGAUGCAAUCUCUGCCCCCUACUAUACUCCCUGUACACCCACGUGCAAUUCUGCCAAAUUCCAUACAAACACCAUCUUUACGUUUGCUGACAACACCACCGUGGUAGGACAGAUGUCAAACAACGAUGAAUCAGAAUACAGAAAGGAGACAGAGAGCUUGGUGAAUUGGUGCAAUGGUAACAACCUCUUCUCAAUGUCAGUAAAACUAGAAAACUGUUCACGGACUUCAGAAAGAAAGGAGAGAACAAGCCCCAUUUACAUCAAUGGGGCUGAGGCUGAGAGGGUGGAAUGCGUCAAGUCAGUCUGAGGAACUAUAACUGACAAUCUGUCCAGGAUUUCCCACAUUGUGCCUUUUUAACCAUUGCACUACAAUGCCUCUUCUUCUUCAGGUGGCUCAAGAAAUUUGCCACACUCAUAAUGAUCCUGACCAACUUUAAUAAAUGUACCAUUGAAAACAUACCGCCCAGGUGCCCAACAGCCUGGUAUGGCAACUGCUCUGCCAAGGACUGUUUGAAACUACAGAAGAUUGUUGCAAGGCCCAAGAGAAAGUGAGGUUAGCAGAUAUCCAGCUCCGACCAUCACAGAAGCAAACCGCCCAGUUAUGCAUCUCAUUGCCAUGGAAAGGCUACCAACAUCAAAGACCCAUCCCACUAGGUAAUGCUCUCCUGCAACCUCUUCCUACAGACAGAGGAUACAGAAGCUUGAACACUGUUCAGGAACAGCUUCUUCCCUGCCAAUAUCAGACUGAUGGAUGGACACUAACUUCAAAUAAUGCUGAUCUUGUUAAUGUCGAUUUUAUCUAGCACAUGUCCUGUGCAGUGUAGCCUGCAUGCCUUACACUAUCCAAGUCUUUUUUCACCCUCAAGCUGUAUGUCGUUGCUUACUAUGAUUUGCCUGUGCUGACUGCAAACAAAGCUUUUCACUGUACUUUGCUACACAUUGGGAGAUGACAACACUUGAGAGCUGCGUUGAUGACCU